GUCAUUAUUGUAAAGGGGCAAUUGCUCCACUACAAGAUGGACUGCGUUGUAUUAGCUAGUAGGUGAGGUAAUGGCUCACCUAGGCGACGAUACAUAGCCGACCUGAGAGGGUGAUCGGCCACACUGGGACUGAGACACGGCCCAGACUCCUACGGGAGGCAGCAGUAGGGAAUCUUCGGCAAUCGGGGGCAACCCUUGACCGAGCAACGCCGCGUGAGUGAAGAAGGUUUUCGGAUCGUAAAGCUCUGUUGUAAGUCAAGAACGGGUGUGAGAGUGGAAAGUUCACACUGUGACGGUAGCUUACCAGAAAGGGACGGCUAACUACGUGCCAGCAGCCGCGGUAAUACGUAGGUCCCGAGCGUUGUCCGGAUUUUAUUGGGCGUAAAGCGAGCGCAGGCGGUUUGAUAAGUCUGAAGUUAAAGGCUGUGGCUCAACCAUAGUUCGCUUUGGAAACUGUCAAACUUGAGUGCAGAAGGGGAGAGUGGAAUUCCAUGUGUAGCGGUGAAAUGCGUAGAUAUAUGGAGGGUCGACGCGGCCG
rnacentral:rRNA from 1 species